CAAGUCGCGCGCCCCGCAAGGGGAGCGGCGCAAGGGUGAGUAAAGCGACGGUAACCAACCCCACAAAUGGGCAUAGCCGCGGGAAACCGCGGGUAAUUCCCAGCGAUGUCAGUGAAGGGCAUCCUUCGUUGACCAAAGUUCCGGCGUUGUGGGACGGGCCGUUGUGGUAUUAGCUAGUUGGCGGGGUGACGGCCCACCAAGGCGGCGAUGCCUACCGGGCGUGCGAGCGUGGCCCGGCACACUGGGACUGAGACACUGCCCAGACUCCUACGGGAGGCUGCAGUCGAGAAUCUUCGGCAAUGGGCGCAAGCCUGACCGAGCGACGCCGCGUGGAGGACGAAGGCCUUCGGGUUGUAAACUCCUGUCGAGGGGGAGGAAGGCGCAAGCUUGACCGAUCCCUGGAGGAAGCACGGGCUAAGUUCGUGCCAGCAGCCGCGGUAAGACGAACCGUGCGAACGUUAUUCGGAAUCACUGGGCUUAAAGCGCGUGUAGGCGGGCCGCCACGUCAGUUGCUGAAAUCCCCCGGCUCAACCGGGGAAGGGGCACUGAGACGAGCGGCCUGGAGGGAGGUAGGGGGGGCUGGAACUUCCGGUGGAGCGGUGAAAUGCGUUGAGAUCGGAAGGAACGCCUGUGGCGAAAGCGAGCCCCUGGACCUUUUCUGACGCUGAGAC
rnacentral:rRNA from 1 species